rnacentral:rRNA from 1 species
AUUGAACGCUGGCGGCAUGCCUUACACAUGCAAGUCGAACGGCAGCACGGGAGCAAUCCUGGUGGCGAGUGGCGAACGGGUGAGUAAAGUAUCGGAACGUGCCCAGUCGUGGGGGAUAACGUAGCGAAAGUUACGCUAAUACCGCAUACGAUCUAUGGAUGAAAGCGGGGGAUCGCAAGACCUCGCGCGAUUGGAGCGGCCGAUAUCAGAUUAGGUAGUUGGUGGGGAAAAGGCUCACCAAGCCGACGAUCUGUAGCUGGUCUGAGAGGACGACCAGCACCACUGGGACUGAGACACGGCCCAGACUCCUACGGGAGGCAGCAGUGGGGAAUUUUGGACAAUGGGCGAAAGCCUGAUCCAGCCAUGCCGCGUGCAGGAUGAAGGCCUUCGGGUUGUAAACUGCUUUUGUACGGAACGAAAAGGUUUGGGCUAAUAAGCUGAGCUCAUGACGGUACCGUAAGAAUAAGCACCGGCUAACUACAUGCCAGCAGCCGCCGUAA